GAUGAACGCUGGCGGCGUGCCUAAUACAUGCAAGUCGAGCGAAUAGACGAGGAGCUUGCUCCUCUGACGUUAGCGGCGGACGGGUGAGUAACACGUGGAUAACCUACCUAUAAGACUGGGAUAACUUCGGGAAACCGGAGCUAAUACCGGAUAAUAUAUUGAACCGCAUGGUUCAAUAGUGAAAGACGGUUUUGCUGUCACUUAUAGAUGGAUCCGCGUCGCAUUAGCUAGUUGGUAAGGUAACGGCUUACCAAGGCAACGAUGCGUAGCCGACCUGAGAGGGUGAUCGGCCACACUGGAACUGAGACACGGUCCAGACUCCUACGGGAGGCAGCAGUAGGGGAUCUUCCGCAAUGGGCGAAAGCCUGACGGAGCAACGCCGCGUGAGUGAUGAAGGUCUUCGGAUCGUAAAACUCUGUUAUUAGGGAAGAACAAAUGUGUAAGUAACUAUGCGCGUCUUGACGGUACCUAAUCAGAAAGCCACGGCUAACUACGUG
rnacentral:rRNA from 1 species